rnacentral:rRNA from 1 species
UACGUAGGGUGCAAGCGUUGUCCGGAAUUAUUGGGCGUAAAGAGCUCGUAGGCGGUUUGUCGCGUCUGCUGUGAAAUCUGGGGGCUCAACCCCCAGCCUGCAGUGGGUACGGGCAGACUAGAGUGCGGUAGGGGAGAUUGGAAUUCCAGGUGUAGCGGUGAAAUGCGUAGAUAUCUGGAGGAACACCGGUGGCGAAGGCGACAUCCUGGACCGGCAUUGACGCUGAGGCGCGAAAGCCAGGGGAGCAAAACGGGG